rnacentral:rRNA from 1 species
AUUGAACGCUGGCGGCAGGCCUAACACAUGCAAGUCGAGCGGAGCGACGGUCGGGUGAGUAAUGCCUAGGAAUCUGCCUGGUAGUGGGGGAUAGCGCACGGACACGAGCGGUAAUCCCGCAUCCUCUUAGCUGAGCCUAGGUCGGAUUAGCUAGUUGGGGGGGUACAGGCCUACCAUGGCGACGUUCCGUAACUGGUCUGAGAGGCUGAUCCGCCACACUGGAACGUAGACACGGUCCAGACUCCUGCGGGAGGCAGCAGUGGGGAAUAUUGGGCAAUGGGCGAAAUCCUGAUCCAGCCAUGCCGCGUGUGUGAAGAAGGUUUUCGGAUUGUAAAGCUCUGUAAGUUGGGAGGCGUUACCAACAGAAUAAGCACCGGCUAACUACGUGCCAGCAGCCGCGGUAAUAC